AUUGAACGCUGGCGGCAUGCCUUACACAUGCAAGUCGAACGGCAGCACGGGAGCAAUCCUGGUGGCGAGUGGCGAACGGGUGAGUAAAGUAUCGGAACGUGCCCAGUCGGGGGGGAUAACGUAGCGAAAGUUACGCUAAUACCGCAUACGAUCUAUGGAUGAAAGCGGGGGAUCGCAAGACCUCGCGCGAUUGGAGCGGCCGAAAUCAGACUAGGUAGUUGGUGGGGUAAAGGCUCACCAAGCCGACGAUCUGUAGCUGGUCUGAGAGGACGACCAGCCACACUGGGACUGAGACACGGCCCAGACUCCUACGGGAGGCAGCAGUGGGGAAUUUUGGACAAUGGGCGAAAGCCUGAUCCAGCCAUGCCGCGUGCAGGAUGAAGGCCUUCGGGUUGUAAACUGCUUUUGUACGGAACGAAAAGGUUUGGCCUAAUAAGCUGAGCUCAUGACGGUACCGUAAGAAUAAGCACCGGCUAACUACGUGCCAGCCGCCGCCGUAA
rnacentral:rRNA from 1 species